rnacentral:rRNA from 1 species
UACGUAGGAGGCAAGCGUUGUCCGGAGUUACUGGGCGUAAAGCGCGCGUAGGCGGACCUGCAAGUCGGGGGUGAAAUCCCGUGGCUCAACCACGGAAUGGCCUCGAUACUGGACGGCUCGAGACCGGAAGAGGUGAGUGGAACUGCGAGUGUAGAGGUGAAAUUCGUAGAUAUUACAAGGAACACCAAUGGCGAAGGCAGCUUGCUGGGCUACUCCUGACACUGAGGUACGAAAGCGUGGGGAGCGAACAGG